rnacentral:rRNA from 1 species
ACGUAGGGUGCAAGCGUUAAUCGGAAUUACUGGGCGUAAAGUGUGCGCAGGCGGUUUUGUAAGACAGAGGUGAAAUCCCCGGGCUCAACCUGGGAACUGCCUUUGUGACUGCAAGGCUGGAGUGCGGCAGAGGGGGAUGGAAUUCCGCGUGUAGCAGUGAAAUGCGUAGAGAUGUGGAGGAAUACCGAUGGCGAAGGCAGCCCCCUGGGAUGAUACUGACGCUCAUGCACGAAAGCGUGGGGAGCAAACAGGA